GAACAACGUGACCUGCCGCAGGGACCUGGCACGUGCCUGCAUCUCAUCUAGGAAGCAUCCAAUUCACACAGCAACCAGAGUGGAUUCUGUUCCUCGCCUCUUAUAACCCCGAUGAUGCAGAGGAGAGUCUGAACUCGGGCCCGUCCGCCAACGAGCAGAGGUGCCGAGACAGGGACCAGGGAGUGUGUCUGGAGAUGGAGAUUCGAGAGGAGGUGGAGCGGAGGCUAGAACUCCAAGAGUCACCCACGCCCUCGAGCGAGGACCCCAAAGGGCACAGCAAGAACACAGCAGGCGUCAGACCCUGGAGGGACUUGAAGGCCAAGGACCAGAAUGUUGACAUUCUUCUUUGUUUUUUUUAAACCAAUCUUGAUUAUUCUUGACCCUGAGUACACAUCUUUUCCAUCUUCUACGUGAGGAACGGCAAGCACGGGGUGAAGGUUUCUGCCGCACAGAGAAGCACCAAGGCUAUCGCCAGGAAAGCUCUCGUGCGGUGGUUCUGAGUUGUGAGUUGACUUUUUUUUUUCUUUAGGAAGAUAAGCCCUGAGCUACCAUCUGCUGCCAACCCUCCUCUUUUUGCUGAGGAAGACUGGCCCUGAGCUAACAUCUGUGCCCAUCUUCCUCUGCUUUAUAUGUGGGACACCUGCCACAGCAUGGUGUGCCGAACGGUGCCAUGUCCACACCUGGGAUCUGAACCGGAGAACCCUGGGCCGCCAAAGUGAAAUGUGCGAACUUAACCGCUGUGCCACCUGGCCGGCCCCUGACAUUAUUCUUAAAGUCACGAGAUUUUGACCAAGACAAUCACCUACUGAAAUUUACAUUUUAGGGGCCUAGGAGGGCUCUGGCACCCUCUGAGCUCCCACUGUGGGCCGGUCAGGUCCCCACACCAUCUCAGCUGAUCCACACAGCCCCCUCUGAAGGAGAGAUU
rnacentral:lncRNA from 1 species